UACAGAGGUCCCAAGCGUUGUUCGGAUUCAUUGGGCGUAAAGGGUGCGUAGGCGGCGCGGUAAGUCGGGUGUGAAAUCCCCGGGCUCAACCUGGGAACUGCAUUUGUGACUGCAUUGCUGGAGUGCGGCGAGAGGGGGAUGGAAUUCCGCGUGUAGCAGUGAAAUGCGUAGAUAUGCGGAGGAACACCGAUGGCGAAGGCAAUCCCCUGGGCCUGUACUGACGCUCAUGCACGAAAGCGUGGGGAGCAAACAGG
rnacentral:rRNA from 1 species